rnacentral:rRNA from 1 species
AGGGUGUAAACGCUGCAGACUUGGUGUUGGAGGCCCUUUGGGGGCAUUCAGUGCCGGAGAGAAGUUGUUAAGUCUGCUACUUGGGGAGUACGUCCGCAAGGAUGAAACUUAAAGGAAUUGGCGGGGGAGCACCGCAACGGCAGGAGCGUGCGGUUUAAUUGGGAUUCAACACCGUAAAACUCACCAGGGAAGACUGUUACAUGAAGGCCGAGAUGAAGACUCUGCUAGAUUUUCAGAGAGGUGGUGCAUGGCGUCAGUGACU